rnacentral:rRNA from 2 species
CACACAGUAAACGAUGAAUACUCGCUGUUUGCGAUAUACAGUAAGCGGCCAAGCGAAAGCAUUAAGUAUUCCACCUGGGGAGUACGCCGGCAACGGUGAAACUCAAAGGAAUUGACGGGGGCCCGCACAAGCGGAGGAACAUGUGGUUUAAUUCGAUGAUACGCGAGGAACCUUACCCGGGCUUAAAUUGCAACAGAAUAUAUUGGAAACAGUAUAGCCGUAAGGCUGUUGUGAAGGUGC